rnacentral:sRNA from 2 species
UCACCAAUUGCGCCGAGCUCCAUCCGUUGGUGUGCGGGGACAACGAGAUACAACCUGGAUGGAGGCGGGGGACCCAACUGGUCCACCGACACAAGGGAGACCUGGAACCGAUUCGGUUCCUUGGGGUGAAGCCGUCGUCGUUACGACGAGGACGGCCGGGCAACCUCUCCAGCCCGAACCCGACAGCUGACCUCGCGGGCGCUUUCAGAGAGGAACC